rnacentral:rRNA from 1 species
AGCGAACGCUGGCGGCAGGCCUAACACAUGCAAGUCGAACGAACCCUUCGGGGUUAGUGGCGGACGGGUGAGUAACACGUGGGAACGUGCCUUUAGGUUCGGAAUAACUCAGGGAAACCUGUGCUAAUACCGAAUGUGCCCUUCGGGGGAAAGAUUUAUCGCCUUUAGAGCGGCCCGCGUCUGAUUAGCUAGUUGGUGAGGUAAUGGCUCACCAAGGCUACGAUCAGUAGCUGGUCUGAGAGGAUGACCAGCCACAUUGGGACUGAGACACGGCCCAAACUCCUACGGGAGGCAGCAGUGGGGAAUCUCGCGCAAUGGGCGAAAGCCUGACGCAGCCAUGCCGCGUGGAUGAUGAAGGUCUUAGGAUUGUAAAAUCCUUUCACCGGUGAAGAUAAUGACUGUAGCCGGAGAAGAAGCCCCGGCUAACUUCGUGCCAGCCGCCGCGGUAAGAC